rnacentral:snRNA from 1 species
GCUUGCUUCGGCAGACAAUCACUGAAAUUGGGAAGGUACAGAGAUUAGCAUGGCCCCUGUGCAAGGACGACACGCAAAUUCGUGAAGCGUUCCGUAUUUUA